GACGAACGCUGGCGGCGUGCUUAACACAUGCAAGUCGAACGGAAAGGCCCUGCUUUUGUGGGGUGCUCGAGUGGCGAACGUGUGUGUAACACGUGAGUAACCUGCCCUUGACUUUGGGAUAACUUCAGGAAACUGGGGCUAAUACCGGAUAGGAGCUCCUGCUGCUUGGUGAGGGUUGGAAAGUUUCGGCGGUUGGGGAUGGACUCGCGGCUUAUCAGUUUGUUGGUGGGGUAGUGGCUUACCAAGGCUUUGACGGGUAGCCGGCCUGAGAGGGUGACCGGCCACAUGGGGACUGAGAUACGGCCCAGACUCCUACGGGAGGCAGCAGUGGGGAAUAUUGCACAAUGGGCGGAAGCCUGAUGCAGCAACGCCGCGUGCGGGAUGACGGCCUUCGGGUUGUAAACCGCUUUCGCCUGUGACGAAGCGUGAGUGACGGUAAUGGGUAAAGAAGCACCGGCUAACUACGUG
rnacentral:rRNA from 1 species